GGAUUCUAUCCUUCAUUCCACCGGAGUCUGUGUCUUUAUUCAACCAGAUUUCUGUGAAAUGAAGUGUAAGAGACA
rfam:Salmo salar isolate Sally breed double haploid chromosome ssa13, whole genome shotgun sequence.